GUUUAAUAUUAAUCCAACAAUUAUUUAAGACGAAUUCUAAUGGUUUGCAAAAGUUUGUGGGCCUGACAAACGUCAAACCCAAAAAUACAUAAGUGGCACAGGUGUAAGUUUACCACUCAGAGGACUCCACAGGAAUCAACCCCAAGUGGCAAUACCAUAUAGUAAUGAUCCAACCGCAGGUUCACCUACGGUUA
rnacentral:misc_RNA from 1 species